rnacentral:pre_miRNA from 1 species
UCACGCUUUGAUUUUGACUAUAGCGCUUAUUGUCUCUGAGUUUGACCAUAAGCGCUAUAGUCAAAGUCAAAGCGUGA